AUGGACCAUUCCAUCCCUUUUUCCCGUGCAUAUGCAUCGGACUCGGAUGACGAUGGUCCCGAUGAACAAGUUGAUGCGGAGGGGUUCACGGUGAAGGAGGCCGAAGCUUUCGAGAAGGUAUUUGGUCGGGAUCAUCGGACUACAUUGUUCAAGGAUGUUAGUCUCGCUGAUGAAGCCGUGGUAGAUGGUGGCCAAUGUGUACCUAUUGGGGUUAGGCCAAGCUCUCAC
rnacentral:rRNA from 1 species